rnacentral:lncRNA from 1 species
UGCAGGUUAGUAACGUGUCUUUAAUGAUUAUGUGUUGUGGGGCAGGUGUUAUUUAAUGAACUCCCGAAAACUUCCGAAUUAAAAGUAAAUUUUCCUUAAGGGGUAUACAUCGGUAAUUGUGUAUCUAGAUCUUUCAUAGCCAUAUACAGCAAAUAUUCCAUGAAAGGAUAUGAACGUAAAAGGGACGUACUCUUUGGGGCGAAUGACCCAGGUUCGUAACCGGAAGUUCAACUUUCGAUACAAAUAAACAAAAAUCUUGGAAAUCUUGAACAGAGACCAUACCCGGAGUUAAGAAGCAGUAGCCAAAAGAAAUCAUUGCUAAAUGUUAGCUUGCUGGUGGAUUUAAGCAAACAUUAUCAUUAUCUGUGUAUAUCCGGCUAUAAAUUUUGCGUGUACCUACACAUUUGUGUACUAAAAACUGUCAAGAGUCGUUCAUCACAGUGACAUGUAUACAUUUUUUAGUUGCUACUACUCUCUAGCCUAGACUAGGUCGAUAUGGUAUGAAUAGUUCCGUUAAAUCAAGAAUUUAGCCAUAUGUCAACAGGCCACAGCUUGAAUUAUUGUUGUAAUAACUCAAUUAUAUACAAAUAUUACACUAUGUUACUAUCAACUGACUAUGGAUUUAAGUUUAAUAAAUAUAUAAAUCUGUAAAUAUACUAAUUUUGAAUUAUUAUUUUUUUUAAAUUAUUUGUAACUAUUAUCGACACAACUACAUGUAUGAGUAUACAUAAUUUUUUAUUGUUAUUGUUUCUUUGUACAGUCAUUUGGUUUUGUUAUGUCAAUGCUAUGUAGCAUGGUGGAACUAAUAUUUACUUUUUGUUGAGUUGUAGCACAAUGUUGGGAAGAUCAGUUAGAGUCCUUGCUCGGCCACAGAACACGGCCAAGGGUUGUAACAGUUGGACAAGAGACUUAGACAACAAGGACACACCAGUUUUUACAGAUGGGUCACCAGACUGGACUGGAUUCACGACUCAUCACGCCACUAACUCAACUCCUUUGGUCACAUACAUUUGUACAUUGGAUCAUCAUCAGACGUUAUUUAUGCAAACCCCUAGAGCUCUGCAUUAGUAUGAUCCAGUUGAGAAUUUAUCAGGUAAUCGUCAGAUUUACUAGUUAAAAGCAGUAUUUACUUUUAAGUUAAACCCCUCAUGUACAAAAUGUACAUGUGAUUCCAACAUAUAACAAACAUAUUUAUAAAGAUUAAGACAACUUUUUCUAAUCUUAUGGGUUAGAUUGAAAAGAUUUGUGCAACGUUUAUAUCUCAGUUUCUAAACUUAAAAUCCAUAAAAUUGCUGAAUGUGUUACUUUUACAAAUUUAUAUGGCCAUAACAUGAUGGGAUGCCGCAUCAUGUGUUUGAAAUAAAAAACAUUCGUAAAUAUGAGGUUACAAUUAUAUAUAAUUGUUAUAUAAAUAUAUUACAUGUGAAACUUUUAAAUGUUGUUUGGUAUAUUAUCACAUUUUGAAUGGAGGACGCUACCGAUUUAUUUAAACUAUAAUUAUAAUAUUUAUCUUGUUUAAUAAUCUGAAUAUUAAAAAUCAGAUAUGCAUGUACGGCAUGAAUACAGAUUUUGCAAUAAAGUACCACAAUUUAAAGGACAAAAUUUAUAGAAGUCUAUAUUUAUUGAACUUUUCAUUAUUAUUGAUUUUUUAUAUAUAUAUCUUAAGGGAAAAAAGGGGCCAAAUGGUUUUAUCUUGUAACCAACUUUUAAAAUGAGACUACUAUUACAAGUUUUGUGUAAUUUAAAUUUGUCGUCGCAGUUAAACGGAUAUAUACAUGUAUGUACAUGUAAUAUUAGCAAAUCUAGUACAAACUAAGUAAUUAUUUACAGCUUGUCUUGCAGUCUGCUCCACCGUUAAAAAUCUUUAGUAUUUAGGUGUCGACAGCAGCUUUAAUUUAUAUAUAUACUAGAAUGUAUUGUAAUCUUCAUCCUGGGAGAUUCUAGGAGUUGCGCAAUUUAUGAGUAUCGUACGCUGUAUGUUUAGGUGCCAGUUUGUUUUUUAGGCUGGAAGUUUAUGAGGAACUUUUCAUUUGCAUAAAAAUCAUUGGCCCUACUGGUUGCUUGGCAACAGUUGAUUCCAAAUUAUGGUUGUUAUUUACUAAUGAAAAUUAUAGUACAGGUUGAAUUUCAGUUAGCAUGAACGCUGGGACUAUUUGAAAUGUUAUGCUUUUUAAAUUAUGAGGGUAUCUAGAUGUUGUUAAGCACUUGUUUGUGUUUUGUUUUUUUGUGUAACACAGGUCAUCCUUUAUAACUUUUGGAUGUCCUAACAGGUAACUUUAACCAUGUUUACUUUGCAUAAUCUAGGCCUUCUUGUGAUAUCCAAGUUCAAAUCACCUAGUCCUUUAAUGGAAAUAAGUGUUUUUUUGGGCAACCUGGUUCAAACCCAAGACGAGAGAGAGAACGAGUGGUUGCUGCUGUUAUACUAAAUGUUUGUUUCUGCUUACAUGGAUUUAGACUCUAGUAUAGGGUUCUCAUAGUCAUUCUUUUAAUUUGCGUUUGCCUGAGUUGAUCCAGUUAUUCUUGCUUUGUAUUUAUGGGCGUUUACAUUAUAAGAAUUUCACCUCUACAUAGACAUCUUACACAUUCAGGUAUUGACCAUCCAAUCUUUUAUGGUAAUACACUUUACAACGGACAAAUGUCAGCUUUUACCUCAAAAACUAACAAAACAUAAAAGCAACUUAUAUAAAGUAGGGAUACUGUUGCCUGCAUAUAUACGGCUUAUUUUGGCUUCAAUAUUGAUUCACUUGCACAUCUUUGCAUCGGACUAAAACUCCUUUAUUUUUAAACCAGUUGCAGGUAUGAUAAGAGUUAUGUUUCUCUAAUAUAUUUUAUGAUGAUAUGAUAUUAAACCCCAUGACGGGAUGGUGCUAGAUAUUUCGUAUAUUGAAUACAUAGUUUUUCGACCAGUUAAAUUGAGGUCUGGAGCUGGCAUGUCGGUAACUGUUAGUAGUAGUAGUCCGUUGUUGAUUUAUGUAAUAUCGUCAUUUUCAAUUUUUUUGUUUUUGUUUGAUUUGUUACCUAUUCUGAUAUUGGACUCUGACUUCUUUAAACUGUGUGAUUUUUUCUAUGCGUAUUGCUGUGCGUUUGUUUCUUCUUCAUUUGGUUGAGAUUUUAAAAACUUGUUUAACCCCUCGGCAUUUUAGUAUCUGUUCCAAGUCUGGGGCCUCUGGCCUAUGUAAGUUUGGUAUGAACUUUUUUUUUUAGAUUAGAGUUUAGUAUGACAUUCAUUAUCACUGAUCUGGUCCAAAUUUUCAUUAUGACUGAAGCCAUUUCUGGUUUUUAGAGGGAUUGCUUCAGAUGCUUGGUCCCAACUGCAGAUGUUUAUCCUGCUAUUACCCCAAGUGAAUUUAUUACUGUUAUUUCAGACCUUUAGUAACCGUUUAUUUGUAAGUUCCACACCACCCAGUACAUACAGAUGUAUCAGAGAGGACAGUCUUUCUUUUUUUCAUGAGUUCGGUUCUCUAGUUGAUUUAUUGAAUACAUUUCCUAUCUCUUUAUGAAUUGUUAAGGUAUUGCUUACUUGUACAUUUUGUAUCUCUCUCAACAAAAAUUGUGACAUUACUAAUUUAUAUAGAUUGGAUAUUUUUUUUAGUAAUUUAAUGAUGUGUCAAAAUUGAGGUUUGAGUUUUUAAGAAGGUAUUAAACACUCCAGGCCUUUACAUUUACCACAACCAGAGUCAUGCUGAAGUCUAGCAAUAUUUUCUUAUCUUGUGUUGGUUAUACUUGGUAUGAAUUCAGUGUAUUUGAAGCUGUCCUUUCAAUUGUUUUUGGACGAUUAUUAAAAGGGUUGGAGAUCCAAUACUGACACUUAAUACAGGGUUUUACAGAGAAUUAUUAUUUUUCUUGAUUUAUUAUGCUUUAAAUUGUAUUCGUAUUACUAUGUAACAUAUACUUCCAUGUAGCUAUUUGCCGUACAAGAAUUGUAGGAGAUCCUAUUAGCUUUAAUGUUUGAUGUUUGAAUAGUAGAAUCCUCAAUAGUAAGUAUGUUUUUGUAGCAGACUGACAUCCUCCAGAUGGGGUUGACUUAGGUCUAGGCACGGAAAUGAAUUUUUGUGGUGGCAUAUUUGUCGCAUGUUAAAAGUUAACUCAGAAUAUAUAAUGAAACUAUGAGGAUCCAACAUAUUUUUAAUAAACUUGUAGCAGGUAAUGACACAGGUAGUUCUAGAGUGGGUCUUUGCACAAUGAGAUGAAGAACAUGAUCAGAUGGAUUGUGAGAUUCAUCAUUCUUAAGUAAGUAAGGAUGGUCUCAAAUUUGACCAAUGCAAACAUGGACGUGUGCUGCUAUAGAAUUUACAACUAUUUAUUGCCUUUAUAAUUAGCUGUCAGGGUUGCUACAUAAAAUAUUAUGAUUUUCGAUCAUCAACUGGAUGUUUUUCACUUGUCACCCUUAACCUGCUUAUGAAAUGAAUUCUUAAACAUCUUUAAUAUUAUUUGUUGAUAUACUAUAAUAUACUAUAUUUUAUGAUAUACAAAUACAAUCAACUAUCUUAUGGUUUGCUGUAGUUUUGGUAAGUAUUUUUAUCUGUGUAGGUAAAUAUGUUUUGAACAGUUGUUCACAAAACAUCAUCUAGAUUAUUUAA